CAUGGCGGCCUUUUCCGGCCCGGCUGGGCCAAUCCUGUCGCUGAACCCACAGAAAGAUGUGGGUUUCAGAAGGAGGUGGCACAGGUUCUGCGCAUAACCCAGCGAGAAAAACAAGAACAACUUACUCCUGGAGUGGUCUACGUGUGCCACCUACAUAACCUACUGAACGAAACCCAGAUUCUUUCAUAUUCCUCCCAGUGUGGCACUGUUACAAGCUUCAGACUAUCCAGACAGAAAAGGACUGGAAAUAGCAAAGGCUAUGCAUGUGUGGAGUAUGAGUCUGAGGAUGUUGCCAAGAUAGUUGCUGAAACAAUGAACAACUACCUGUUUGGCGAAAGACUCUGGGAGUGUCAUUUUAUGACACCUGAAAAAGUACAGAAAGAACUCUUUAAAGACUGGGAUAUUCCGUUUAAGCAGGCAUCAUAUCCAUCAGUGAAACGGUAUAAUCAGAAUCGGCACUUACACAAAAGCUGUGGGUGGAGGGGCGAUUUAAAAAGAAAGAUUACUCAAGAAGAAAUUAGCUUAAAAAGGAAUUGAUUAUGAUUUUCCUUCUUUGAUUUUACAGAAAACAGAAAGUAUUUCAAAAACGAAUCAUCAGACGUCUACAAAGGGCCAGGUUUGCCCAAAAGGCCAGGUUUUACAUAAGAAGCAGCGAAAGGUUUUAGGCACUCCUGACACUCCUGAGAAGACUGUGGAUAGCCAGGGCCCCACACCGGUUUGUACCUCAACAUUUUUGGAGAGACGAAAAUCUGAAGUGGCUGAAAUGAACAAUGAUGAUGAAGAUAACAAAAUAGUUUUCAAACAGCCCAUAUCCUGUGUAAAAGAAGAAAUACAAGAGACUCAAACACCUACACAUUCACAGAAAAAAAGAUGAAGAAAAAGCAAUUAGUGAUU
rnacentral:lncRNA from 1 species